UUUUAACAGAGGUAUGUGUGUUGAACACCACUGAAGACAAUGUUAGCAGCUGUUAGAUUUAAUAGUAGGGGGGAAAUGGUUAAAUUUUAGUUUUUAUACGCUAUUUUCGUCUUCCGGGUUUAAAAUCUUCAUCCAGUUCACGUCACAGGCUGUGACGGGGCAGAGCACAGAUAGUAACUUGAUGACUCAUCGUUGUCUCAUAAUUAUUAACGAGACUGAGUUUUUUAUCCAAUGAGAAGACAAUCUCUUAAUUAUUCAUGACACCACGCGGAUCUUCCCAACGACAGACUUGUCAAGCAAGCUGUGAUAUCGCGCAGUAGAUGAGUGAGGCGAUCAUGGGACGCAAGUGUUUGUUUUCGUGGUGCAAAAGUUCAACUGGGUUGCAUAUGUUUCCCCGCGAUGCUGCCAGGGCUAGACUCUGGCUUCGGGCGGUUGGUUGGCCAUCAACCACGGACACAUCCAGAUUAUAUGUGUGCAGCAAACAUUUUUCGAGAGAGAGCUUUGAGAAUUGGAGAAUGGUGGACUUUGGCCUUGUUGACGACCAAUGCAAGUUGCGUCUCGCGAUUGAUGCGGUGCCAAUUCCCGAGGACUUUUCUAUCCUUUCAGAGCCUAAACUGUGUUGCGAGAUGGCGUGUCAGACCGAACAGCCCGCCAAAAAAGAUGCUGCAUGUCAAACCCAUCCCGACAUGAAGCAUAUGUCAACGCAACAUCGCUGGAAACCUGAACGAAGGAGCAAGAGCACUCAGGUGAAGCAACAGAAAAGGCAUGUUGGUUGCAACACUUCCACACCAUUCAUACCACUAGAAAAAGGUCCUCUUGCAACCUCUACCCCCUUGAAAAGGCCCAGAAGAGAGGCUGAGGAUUCUGAUUGUAGUUUCCAACCAGG